rnacentral:rRNA from 1 species
GAUGAACGCUGGCGGCGCGCCUAACACAUGCAAGUCGGACGGAGAUAAGGAGGAGCUUGCUCCACCUUAUCUGAGUGGCGGACGGGUGAGUAACGCGUGAGCAACCUGCCUUAAAGAGGGGGAUAACGUCUGGAAACGGACGCUAAUACCGCAUAACGUCGCAAGACCAAAGAGGGGGACCUUCGGGCCUCUUGCCAUCGGAUGUGCCCAGAUGGGAUUAGCUAGUAGGUGGGGUAACGGCUCACCUAGGCGACGAUCCCUAGCUAGUCUGAGAGGAUGACCAGCCACACUGGAACUGAGACACGGUCCAG